UGGCAGACGGGUGAGUAACGCGUGGGAACAUACCUCUUGGUUCGGAACAACACAGGGAAACUUGUGCUAAUACCGGAUAAGCCCUUACGGGGAAAGAUUUAUCGCCGAGAGAUUGGCCCGCGUCUGAUUAGCUAGUUGGUGAGGUAAGAGCUCACCAAGGCGACGAUCAGUAGCUGGUCUGAGAGGAUGAUCAGCCACAUUGGGACUGAGACACGGCCCAA
rnacentral:rRNA from 1 species